rnacentral:rRNA from 1 species
GCCCUUCAGCAGCCGCGGUAAUACGUAGGGUGCAAGCGUUAAUCGGAAUUACUGGGCGUAAAGCGUGCGCAGGCGGUUAUGCAAGACAGAUGUGAAAUCCCCGGGCUCAACCUGGGAACUGCAUUUGUGUCUGCAUAGCUAGAGUACGGUAGAGGGGGAUGGAAUUCCACGUGUAGCAGUGAAAUGCGUAGAUAUGUGGAGGAACACCGAUGGCGAAGGCAAUCCNCUGGACCUGUACUGACGCUCAUGCACGAAAGCGUGGGGAGCAAACAGGAUUAGAUACCCUGGUAGUCCACGCCCUAAACGAUGUCAACUGGUUGUUGGGAGGGUUUCUUNUCANUAACGUANCUAACGCGUGAAGUUGACCGCCUGGGGAGUACNGNCGCAAGGNUGAAACUNAAAGGAAUUGACGGAAGGGC